rnacentral:piRNA from 1 species
UGAGUGCCCACACUUUGGACAGCCCCUGG